GGGGUUGUAGCUCAGUGGUAGAGUGCUUGCCUCACAAGCGUGAGACAAUUGGGUUCUAUCCACAGCACCA
rnacentral:tRNA from 1 species